rnacentral:rRNA from 1 species
UACGUAGGCAGCGAGCGUUGUUCGGAGUUACUGGGCGUAAAGGGUGUGUAGGCGGUCCUCUAAGUUUGGUGUGAAAUCUCCCGGCUCAACCGGGAGGGUGCGCCGAAAACUGGAGGGCUAGAGUGCGGGAAGGGGGAGUGGAAUUCCUGGUGUAGCGGUGAAAUGCGUAGAUAUCAGGAGGAACACCGGUGGUGCAGACGGCUCUCUAGUACGGUACUGACGCUGAGACGCGAAAGCGUGGGGAGCGAACAGG